rnacentral:sRNA from 1 species
AUAGUUCCGGUGGCGACUGCGGCGCAUGGCGGUGAGCGGUGUGGAGAAGACGCGCGGGUGGCUGGGCCUUGCAUUGUUGGCGGCUCUCGGUGACCCUCGUGCUACCCCCCUUUCUCCAGGCCCCGGGACAUCUUGCUGGGGAGGCAGCGGCGGCCCCAGGCCCGGGUACUCCCUGCGCGUCCCGCAGACCCCGGCUUCCCGGCCCGGUUUCCAGCGUCCGGAAUCCUUCCACUGUCUGUCUCUGCCCAGGGCAACCUACGUGCAGUAACGCUGACUCCAGAGCGCACCCGUUAGGCGAUGAAGGCGGCACAGCGUCGAAAAAACAAAAGAAUAAGAAGAAAACCCGGAACAGGCCCUCUGUGGCAAAUGGAGGCGAGAAGGCCUCAGAGAAACUCGCCCCAGAAGAAGUUCCCCUAAGCGCUGAGGCCCAGGCACAACAGUUGGCCCAGGAAUUGGCUUGGUGUGUGGAGCAACUGGAGCUGGGCCUCAAGAGGCAGAAACCCACCCCGAAACAGAAAGAGCAGGCUAUUGGAGCAAUCCGAACCCUGCGCAGCAAAAGAACGCCCCUGCCCCGGAAGAGGCAGCUGAUGCACUCUUUGUUUGGAGACUACAGGGCUCAGAUGGAAGCCGAACGGCUUGAGGCCCUGCGGGCUGUCAGAGCUGCUGCUUAUUCAGCCCAGGUGCAACCUGUAGAUGGAGCCACCAGAAAGAAGAGCCAAAGGGUCUGCAGGCCUCGCCCUAUAUGGAGAGCCAAAGCCACUCUGGACAUGCCUGAUGAAGAGUUUAGGUUCAAUUUCUUUUAGCGUCUCCCCCAACCUGAAACAAUCCCCCUCCCUUGGGGUGGUGUAGGGGUUUGUUUUGAGUGCAGAGCAUUUCCAGGACUUCUGUUGUCAGAGAACCCUGGAGUUGGUCUGUCCCUGGCUGGUCCAAGGAUUUGUAGCUGUUGUGAAGGUGUGAGACCAUCAGAUAGGCAAAAGACCCCGUUCGUUUUCUGAUGAAAUGUUCUCUCUUUCAGAAGAGAGAGAGAGGUGCAUUUAGAAAAUAUGCAAUAAAUUGAAGUGAGUGUUCAAAGUAUUGUAGAAGGAAUAUUGUACUCAGUCUUUAGGAUUAGAUUAAGUGGCUGUUGGUAACAAAGAUUAGUGGAGAAGCUGUAUAAUCGUACACUGGUUUUCACUUUUGAAAGGAAUCCCUGUCAAAUGGUUUAGUGCUUAAUGCUGUUAUGUCACAUUGCCCUAAUCUCUAUUUUUGAUAAAAUUGGAUAAGGAGUGAAAGAGUAUGCUGACCACCUAUGUUAGAGGAAGUACAGAAGAUGCAGGGGUGUGGUAUCCCUGGGUCCAGUCCCUCACCUGGUACCUUUGUGCAUGUUGCCUUCAUUCCUGAGCAGGUAUCAGCCUCAGGGAACCAGCAUGGCACCUACCAGGCCAGGCUCUGUUCUUAGGAGCAAGGAGCUUCUUGCGCUAACAGUUCUGGCCUGAGACCUGGAUUGAGCCUUGGCAGACUUCUUGUCUAAAUGUUGGCCAUUCAGUCUCAGGCCCUCUGUUCCAUGGAAUUGGGAAUCCCCAGGUGACCUAAUCCUCAUUGGUGGCUUGAUGUUUGCUGGUGUCUUCCAAACUCAGUUCCCAGACUAGAUUGAUACCUGGAGCCCAGCUGCCUACUCAGCAUUUCCACUUGGGUGCUUCAUAGGCAUUUCAAACCUGAUGUGUUUAAAACACUUGAUUAGGCUCCGGUUUCCCUUUGGCUUCUGCUUUUCAGUGAAUGGCAUGACUGCCUAUGUGGGUGGCAAGCCACCCAGGUGCCGAGGAAAGAGACUGAGGGCACGAGCUAUUCCAGUAUAAUGAAAUAUAUAAAAUAAGAAGAGUUAUACUAGAUCUAGAUCAUAGACAUGAUUAUAUGUGAGUAUCAUUAAUCAUUAGUUUAUAGCAAUUACUCUUUAUUCCAAUAUUAUAAUAAUCCUCACUUUACAAUCAUAACCUAGGAAAAACCAGGCCAUACAGAGAUAGGAGCUGAGGGGACAUAGUGAGAAGUGGCCAGAAGACAAGAGUGUGAGUCUUCUCUUAUGCCCGGACAGGGCCACCAGAGGGCUUCUUGGUCUAGCGGUAACACCAGUGUCUGGGAAGACGCCUGUUGCAAAGUGGACCAUGGUCUAGCAGUAGCAUCAGUGUCAAGGAAAAACACCAGCUACUUAGCAGACUGGGAAAAGGAGCCUCCCUUUCCCCGGGGGAGUUUAGAGAAGACUACUCCUCCACCUCUUGUGGAGGGCCUGACAUGAGUCAGGCCCGCCGGCAGUUAUCCGGAGGCCUGUCUCCCUGUGAUGCUGUGCUUCAGUGGUCACGCUCCUAGUCCGCUUUCAUGUUCCAUCCUGUAUACCUGGCUCUGCCUUUUAGAUAGCAGGAGCAAAUUAGUGAAAGUACUAAAAGUCUGAUAUGCAGAAAUAAUGGCAUAAGCUGUCUCUCUCUCUCCUCUCUCUCUCUGCCUCUGCUGCCAGGCAGGGAAGGGCCCCCUGUCCAGUGGACACAUGACCCAUGUGACCUUACCUAUUAUUGGAGAUGGUUCACAUUCCUUACCCUGCCCCUUUGUCUUAUAUCCAAUAAAUAUCAGUGCAGCCUGGCAUUUGGGGCCACUACUGGUCUCUGCGUCUUGGUGGUAGUGGUCCCCCAGGCCCAGGUGUCUUUUCUUUUA